GAACGUCGUGAGACAGUUCGGUCCCUAUCUGCCGUGGGCGUGGAAGAUUGAGAGGGGUUGCUCCUAGUACGAGAGGACCGGAGUGAACGCACCACUGGUGUUCGGGUUGUCAUGCCAAUGGCAUUGCCCGGUAGCUAAGUGCGGAAAAGAUAAGCGCUGAAAGCAUCUAAGCGCGAAACUUGCCUCAAGAUGAGUCUUCCCUGGACCUUUAAGGUCCCUGAAGGAACGUUUAAGACUAAGACGUUGAUAGGCUGGGUGUGUAAGUGCAGCGAUGCAUUGAGCUAACCAGUACUAAUGAUCCGUGAGGCUUAACCUUACAACACCGAAGGUGUUU
rnacentral:rRNA from 1 species